AAAACCCCAGCUCUGCUGCUGAAAUUGGACAUCUCCAAAGCGUUUGAUAGCGUGUCUUGGGAUUACUUACUGGAGCUAUUGCAAGAGCUGGGUUUCAGCACUAGAUGGAGAGAUUGGAUCGCCUGGUUGUUGGCUUCAUCACGCUCGGAGUUCCUGCUAAAUGGAGUGCCAGGGAGGAAAAUCCAGCACCGCAAGGGCCUUCGCGAGGGUGAUCCACUCUCCCCUCUACCGUUUAUCCUAGCCAUGGACCCGUUGCAACGCCUGAUUGAUAUAGCAGUCCAGCGGCAGAUGAUGCAACCAUUGCCAAGAAGGGAACUGAAACUAAGGGUCAGUCUCUACGCGGAUGAUGCGGUCGUUUUCAUGAACCCA
rnacentral:rRNA from 1 species